UAUGUGAUCGUCUCUCGCAUAUCAAUAAGCGGAGGAAAAGAAACUAACAAGGAUUCCCCUAGUAACGGCGAGUGAAGCGGGAAGAGCUCAAAUUUGAAAUCUUAAAGGGUUUCCCUUUACGAAUUGUAGUUUAAAGAAGUGUUUUCUGUUGAGGUUUUGGUAAAAGUUCUUUGGAAUAGGGACAUCAUAGAGGGUGAGAAUCCCGUAUUUGACCUUUACUUUCAACUUUGUGAUACACUUUCAAAGAGUCGGAUUGUUUGGGAAUGCAGUCCAAAAUGGGUGGUAAAUUUCAUCUAAAGCUAAAUAUUGGCGAGAGACCGAUAGCGAACAAGUACCGUGAGGGAAAGAUGAAAAGAACUUUGAAAAGAGAGUUAAACAGUACGUGAAAUUGUCAAAAGGGAAGCGUUUGACACCAGUGUUGUUUUUCUGAAAAUCAAUUAAAGAACUGUUUAUGCUAAGUUGUUUAGACUUUAUCAGCUAACUGUUUAGUUUUGAGCUUUUCUUUAAUGCACUUUUCAGUUAACAAGUCAACAUCAAUUUCUUUUGCUGUAAAAAAGCUUGAGGAAGGUGGCUUGAGAUUCGUCUUAAGUGUUUAUAACCUCUUGCCUAUGCAGUCGGAGAGAUUGAGGUCUGCAGCGUAGAUCCUUCGGGGCUAAAUGCAUUUGUGCUAAGUUAUAGCAUUUUAUAGACAACUUGUUGACUAUGAUUUGUCUUGUAGCUUACUCGCUUAUGUUAUUUUACCUACGCUUAGGAUGUUGAGUAGCGACAUACGCAC
rnacentral:rRNA from 1 species